CCAGCCCUUGACGAUUCUUUCAUCCUCCUUCAGUCUGUACAGUAAUAUCAAUCGGCUAAUUGUGCUACAGAUUCC